rnacentral:piRNA from 1 species
UGCUCCUUUCAGAAAACAAUGUUCUGUGA